rnacentral:rRNA from 1 species
UACGUAGGGGGCAAGCGUUGUCCGGAUUCAUUGGGCGUAAAGAGCUCGUAGGCGGCUUGGCAAGUCGGGUGUGAAACCUCCAGGCUCAACCUGGAGACGCCACCCGAUACUGCCAUGGCUAGAGUCCGGUAGGGGACCACGGAAUUCCUGGUGUAGCGGUGAAAUGCGCAGAUAUCAGGAGGAACACCGGUGGCGAAGGCGGGUCUCUGGGACGUAACUG